GUGCUCGCAUCAGCAGCACAAAUAUUAAAAUUGGAACCAUACACAGAAGAUUAGCAUGGCCCCUGGACAAGGAUGACAUGCAAAUUCGUGAAGCAUUCCAUAAUUUU
rnacentral:snRNA from 1 species